UUAAACCCAUUAGGCCUCGUCGAGCUCGACCAACUAGCCGCUGCCAUCCGUCCCGACACCGCCCUCGUCUCUGUCAUGGCCGUCAACAAUGAGAUUGGCGUCGUCCAUCCCCUGGAGGAGAUCGAUCGCAUCUGCCACGAGAAGGGCGUUGUCUUCCACGCCGACGCCGACGCCGCCCAAGCCCUUGGGAAAAUCCCCAUCGAUGUCGAGAAGAUGGGAUCGGGCUCAUGUCGCUUAGCGGGCACAGAAUCUACGGCCCUAGGGGCGUAGGCGCCCUCUACAUUCGCCGACGUCCCCGCGUUCGGGGUGAGCCUCGGAUGAGCGACGGCGGGCAGGAGAGAGGCAUCCGGUGCGGGACCGUCCCCACCCCUCAAACCGUCGGGAUGGGUGCCGCAUGCGAGAUCACGAAGAAGGAGAUGCAAUACGAUAGCCGUCGCAUCUCGUCGCUGAUGUGAAUGGGAGCCGUUCACGUCACUUCGGCGCGUGAUAUCAUCUGGAAGAAGACGCACUCAUUGCGCUCGUUCGUGCCAAAACUACCCUCGUGUUGAUUCGAUGAAUGGUGGUGCCCGCUCUGUGCGGCACCCGUAUAGUUGCUUCUCGGUGGGCAAGCGGCUCAUACUGCAAGCGUGCUCAGGGCAAGCCUCUUGCGCUCCAGGUCACGGUUGCGUGAUUAGUUUCCGUUGAUCUCGUUUUGAAGGGCUUAUGAUAUCACUCCCGUCUCCUCUCCUGCAAUCUCCGAGACGAUCGGACGGUGCAGUCUCUGUAAAGAUGCCAUUUUGGAGUGGGCUUAGGCAUCGAUUUUGAGAUCACAUAACAAUGCCGUCAUCGAUUUUGUGUUCCAUUUACUUCCCUUCCAGCGGCAAAUUUUGCUCUUUGUUCUCUUUGUCCCUGGUUACUGAAUCUGAGUUAGCAUUGGGGAGAAACAAAUCCCUAAUGCUUCCGUGUUUUUAAUAUGGCGUACAUGCCAGUGAAGUGGAAAUCGCUGCCGCCAGCAGAUGGUAUCAGACGCUUCCGGUGCUCCUGAGCAGCAAAACGGCACUCCACACCUUUAGGCGGAUAAUGUGGGUGCUUAUGGAUCAUCGGCAACUGAGUCGGAAAAUGGGAUUUACUUGCAUGGCCGACAAGUGACAAAAGCCUUCCACGACCACCUAAUGCAUGGAAACUGGACAAAAGGCUCCACUCUUAGUACCAUUCUUAUGUUCUUCAGGAUACUCGCUUUGUGUCACACACCAAUUCCUGAUCUAAACGAGGAAACAGGUGGUUUCGCCAGUGAAGCUGUCACCAGAUGAAGGAGCAUUUCUUGUCGCAGCCAGGAAAUCUGUAAGAGGGCCCAAUCUGGCAUAUACAUUAGGCAGAAGUAUUUUUCUUCUGCGAACACUGUGGAGAGGUCAUAACUCAAUCUAUAUAUUGAAGUCAGUAAGUUAUCAUUUAUCUCUGUUGUAGACUCCUGGUGUCUUAAUCAUUUCGUGCGUUACGGGGAAUUCAAGAUUCUUAAUCUAUUGGCAUUCGACAGCAAAAGGAAGAGAAUUCUGUAAUCGUGCAUGAUGAGAGUGAGCAGGUUAUUCUUCUUUGCAAUGGUGAUGACAGGUAUGUCUGACUAACCCUGUCCGGGUGAUACUGUUUUGAUUGUUGAUGCAUCUGUAUCAUGCAAUGAAACACAUUUAUUGAUGUUCUCAAAUCAUUUAACGUAAGUGGAUUGAAUAUGGAUUUAAUUAUUUUGCAUCUUAAAUGCUUCAGCCUAUUUUUUUCUUGAGUAUUGUCAUCUUUGGUAGACUGUCAAAAAUGUGGAUGAUCGUAUGAGAGUGGUACAAGCAAGCAUCUAAAUGAAUAUGGGGAAGCAGGCUUGCAGAUAUUAGCAGUCAAUACAGAGUAUGCCUCUUUGGUCUUUCACAUAACUCAUAAUGUAUCAUUACUGAUGUGUGGAAUAUCGAUUAUGAUUACACAUGAAUGUUGUAUAGAGCACCAUUUUCUUUCCAGAUGUGAUUGCAGUUUACUUAGCAAGGUAUGAAACAAAUAUGUUUUAACCAUUGUCUGAGAGUGACAAAGUUGGAUGCUUGUGGAAACUCGAGUAUUACUCAAGUUCCAACAUUUUUGAGAUGUUAGGGCCAUACUUAGCUUGGCCUGGAUGGCUAGUGAUUUCUCCAUUUCCGCCAAUUCAGAUUCCUUGAACAACUUAUUGUUGUACAGGUCCACUGGUGCUAUAAGAGGAUAGCACUUACGGUGAGAACUAAGGAAUAAUCAACAUGUGCUUUUGCAGUUAUGAUGUUCUACCCUUUUUUCUAUCUAGAUAUUUUGGAUCAUUUUUAGAUUUGCUACUUUUUUUUAUGAAAAAGCAUUUGAGCUGACAACAUUCUACUUUGAAGCAUAUGCUGGCUUCUCAGGGCAGUCGGCAUAUGAUGACUAGCACAUUCUCCUAUUAACAUCGUUCUAGCAUAGUUGUCGAUUGACAUGGCAAUGGGAGUCUUCGAGCAAGAUGUUUCUCCUGAAGUAUGCUUGCAGCAAUUAUGCUCUUGGUUAUGUCUGAUACAAUAACAGCCACUUCUUCUGUAGCUCCCAGGAAGGGCCAAGGAAUCUGUUUACUGGUUGGUAUAGGAUCAUCAGUUGGGUGUUCAAUGGUCUUUGUGCAUCCAUUGUCAUAUAUUUUGUCAACAUCAGGAUUUUCUACAAUAGGGCAUUCCGCAUAGGCAGCCAGACUGCGGAUUUGAUUGCCCCUGGAACCUCCAUGUUCACUUGCAUUUUACAUGGAUUCAGCAUCUCUUUGUGUGGGGCAGUAUUGCUAAAUUGUACCUCUUCUUCAUUGGCUGAGGAAUGUCUUCACCAACAAUAUCCAAGAAAGACUAGCAGUUACUAGUAACUGGAAGUCCUUGGACCAGCACUUAUUUAUUGGGCUGUAACAUUUUUGGUUGUUGCAAUCUGCAAUGCUUAAUAUCUGGUCCACAUGACCUUCCAGAGGGCCUUCAAUCCACUGGUCAACCAUGUGAUCCAAGAAAUCAAAUACUACAAGAAGGAUGUGGAGGGCCAGCAUAUGUGGAAGAGAGGGAAGUCUAAAGCAAGGCAGAAGAUUAUGAUUGGUUUUACCGCAAGGAUGGAUGGCAACAUCAGACAGCUAAGAAGGAAGUCUCAUAGGAAAGUCAAGGACAAACCCAGUAGACGGGCUCCCACCAAUGAGGGGCCUGGGAAGAGUCAAUAGCAACCUUACCAAUAUAUUUAGGAAGUAUCACAUGAAAGUCUCAUACUAUAUCAUUAAGCGGCAGCUUCAUGGAAAUAGUUGAGGUAUGUGUACAUCGAGCAGUAGAUUUAUACCCUGUCAUUUAUUUCAGAGCACUUUUUGCAGGCUUAAUAUGGUGCUACAUCAUCCAUAUUCAUAUAAUGCGGAGGAAAUCAAGCAGAAUUCUGUAGAUUAUGCAGGAGAAAGCUUGUUUCAAGAUGACCAUUUUUUAUUAAAAGAAUAUUAUGGAUCAAGGUCAUGAAGUAAAUGCCUCCAACAUGUGACCCCAGCGGCCUGCUAACCUCAACUGCAGGUAACCAAACAUGCCCCAAUAUCUCCUCUUGCUGCAUUAUUGUUAUGCAUGCAUGCAUGCAAGCUCGACCAGCAUGGCUGAUCGGUAUCGUAGACGACGAAAAUUCACGUUCAGAGAGAAUUUUUUGCUUGUACUAAUAUGUUCCUCAAACAGUACUCAGGAUGCCCUUAUAUAAGUUCUAAAGGCAUUCUUUUGGGAACAUAACAUGUACCAAUCUUUGGAUUCCAACAAGUCACCUCCAAAUUUCUUGUA